rnacentral:sRNA from 1 species
GUGUGUCUGUGUGUCUAUGUGACAGUGCAGGUAAGUGCUUGCUAAACAUGAGUCUGGAGGUCAGAGGACAACCUCUCUGUUAGUCCUAAUCUUCUACCUUGUCUGAGGGUCUCUUGUUUGUCACUGCCUAUGCUGAGUUAAUUGGCCCACAACCUUCUGUGGAUUUUCUUGUCUCUACCUCCCAUCUCCCAGUAGGAACACUGGGUUUACAGAGCCUGCUACUGCGCCUGGGUUUCCAUGGGAUUUGAACUCUGCUGCUCCUUAGGCUUUUGUGUAUAACCCGGAACUUUUCACAGUGAUGUAGUGCCCCUGCCCUCCUCUUAAUGUUUUGUAAACUCUUUUUUCUUCAGUGAUUCUAUUUCAGGUUCUUUCUUCCCACCUGUGGUUUUGUGGUGGUCUCAUCACCAGACUCUUGUGUCUGCCCAGCUCUCUUCAUUGAUAUGAAAAGAUGUUGACUACUAAACACAUACAUGUGACAUUAAGGAGACCUUUUAAAGUUACCUGACAAUGAUUUGUUCUCCAUUUCAGCCUCUGGAGAAGUCUUCAUAGAUCCCACUUUGCUUAAGUCUGGUUUUCAAGUGCAAGCACAGGCUAAUUUCAAGGGUCUUUUAUUCUUCGAUUUGUUCUAGUUAGAUGGUUUUUGCUUUGUUUUCGGAUAGCCCUCAAGAGACCCUUACUACUCCUGUUCUGGCCUUAAUCUGCCAACAUAGAUGAAGAUGACCUUGAACCUCUGAAUGUUCUGUGUCUGCUUCCUGAGCACAGAAAGAAGAAUGUUUUCAUAGGGGAGCCUGGAAGAUCAAAUGAGACCAUACUUGCUGAAACAGAAGGCCCCUGAGAUUUUUGACUCACACCCAACUUUGAAAACCACUGGAAGAGAUGAGCUGGAUAACCCUGGAGAAUAUAAUCAGAAUCAAGGUAGAUAAAGUGUGGAUAGGCCAGUGGACUGGGGACGCUAUUCUAGAGGAAGAUCCUGCCGUGGGUGUGAGCUUUGGAAACUAAAAAUGACACAGUGGUAGAGUGCUCUCUGAGCACACACAAGGCUCUCGGUUAACACCCCACCCCUACCCCCAGAGCCUAAAGGAAAACAAAUGAAAAACUGAAGUGUCUCAAAAGUGGUCAGAGCAAAGGAAGAGCUGGUAGAAAUUAACAGCACAGCCAAAUACUGGGCCUUGUAACCCAGGGAAAGACUUGGGAGUUUGUAUUCAAGUCAAUUGGAAGCUGUUAAAGGGUUCUGAGCAAGGAAGAGCCUUUUCUGGUCAAUAACAUGCUAUUGUAAUUUUAAAACAUCCCCUUACAACCCAAUAGAGGCAGUUAAUUGUCCUAAUUAGAGCUUACACUCUAAUAAGGGGAGGAAAAGUCGGGAUAUAAGUGUCAGGCUGAUCCAUGAAUGCACAUUAAACACUCAUUAUGUAUUUGCCUCUCUGCUAGGCACAGAAAGGACAGGAGGAGGCAGGGCUCCUUCUUCUGAGGGGCAGGGAGAUAAGACAAGAGGAAGGUGUGAGUAGGACGCCCUGGGAGGGAAGGCAGACAUUUCCAUGUGUGCUCCUAGCAGGACAUGAUGAGGGAGGAAGCAGAGGCAGAGUUUAACAAGGAAAUGUUCUCUAUCCUAGGUGGGUCAGGAGAGCAGGCUUGCUCGGAACUGCAGUUCAUUCUGGAAAGUACUGGACAUACACUAGGAAGGCAGGUCCAGAUGAGUUUGUCCAGCAGAACCUCAGAGGAGGAGACGCCUAACCUGGACCUAUAAGCUUCAGACUAUUCUGACCUUAAAUGAAGCCACCUUGGAGAAUCUGGCAGAGGGCAUUGUUAGAAGGGUGCAAAUGGGGUACCGGUUGAUGCCAUUUUUCUGCAGUUCCUGGUGAUAAUUGUCCAAUGUCUUUCCUAGGCUCUGAGGCAUCUCUAGAGACUACUAUGAUGUUUUAAGUGCUUCAUUGAAUCACAACAAUCUUAGAAAGGAGUGCCCACAGCUUGAGUAAACUGAGUGUGCAAUAUAAGCACUCCCCCAAAUUCAUGCUUCUGUGUCACUCUGACUGUGACCAAUAAUCAGGAUGUCAAGUCCUUCCCACUUUGGUUCCCACCAUCUUGGCUUCUGAUACAGUUCUUUUUUGAAGUUUCUGGUUUGGUGUGUGUGUGUGUG